rnacentral:tRNA from 1 species
GCUUCGGUAGUCUAAUUGGCUAAGACACUUGCGCGUUAAGCAGGCGAUCCGGAUUCGACUCCCGGCCGAGGUA